AUUGAACGCUGGCGGCAGGCCUAACACAUGCAAGUCGAACGAGUGGCGGACGGGUGAGUAAUGUCUGGGAAACUGCCUGAUGGAGGGGGAUAACUACUGGAAACGGUAGCUAAUACCGCAUACCAUCGGAUGUGCCCAGAUGGGAUUAGCUAGUAGGUGGGGUAAAGGCUCACCUAGGCGACGAUCCCUAGCUGGGCUGAGAGGAUGCACAGCCAACCUGGAACUGAGACACGGUCCAGACUCCUACGGGAGGCAGCAGUGGGGAAGAUGGCACAAUGGGCGCAAGCCUGAUGCAUCCAUGCCGCGGGUAGGAAGAAGGCCUUCGGGUUGUAAAGUACUGUCAGCGGGGAGGCGUUACCCGCAGAAGAAGCACCGGCUAACUCCGUGCCAGCAGCCGCUGUAAUUC
rnacentral:rRNA from 1 species